AUUGAACGCUGGCGGCAGGCCUAACACAUGCAAGUCGAGCGAGCGGCGGACGGGUGAGUAAUGUCUGUGAAACUGCCUGAUGUAGUGGGAUAACUACUGGGAACCGUAUCUCAUACCGCAUACCAUCAGAUGUGCCCAGAUGGGAUUAGCUAGUAGGUGGGGUAACGGCUCACCUAGGCGACGAUCCCUAGCUGGUCUGAGAGGAUGACCAGCCACACGGGAACUGAGACACGGUCCAGACUCCUACGGGAGGCAGCAGUGGGGAAUAUUGCACAAUGGGCGAAAGCCUGAUGCAGCCAUGCCGCGUGUGUGAAGAAGGCCUUCGGGUGGUAAAGCACGUUCAGCGGGGAGGCGUUACCCGCAGAAGAAGCACCGGCUAACUCCGUGCCAGCAGCCGCGGUAAUAC
rnacentral:rRNA from 1 species